AUCAUUACAUCAUUAUAAUGCGACGAACUGAGGAAGGGCAGAUGUUAACGUGCAUGCUGAUGACUCCAAUUAUAACUACAGGCUGUUUGGUUCGCGAGCACGACGAUUAAUAAACAGUCUCUGUUUACAUCCAUACACUAUCAAAAUAGUGUAUAUUUUUGGAGCAGCUGGUCACAGUAAAGAGCGACGCACCAGCCAGCACAUUUGAAGAUGUCUGUAACGGAGAUGUUUAGCUACAUCCAAGGAUUUUUGAGUGCUGAUCAAGAUAUUCGAGAGGACAUAAGAAAAGUUGUCCAAGUUCUGGAGCAGACAGCAAGAGAGAUCCUCACUGUUCUUCAAAGUGUCCAUCAACCAAGUGGUUUCAAAGACAUUCCCAGCAAGUGUUUGAAGGCUAGAGAGCUGUUCUGCACUGUAAGAAACCACACUGGAGAGCUGAAAACUAAGUUCCCUGUGGAACAGUACUAUCGGUAUCAUGAACACUGGAGAUUUGUUCUUCAACGACUUGCCUUCCUUGCGGCUUUUGUGGUAUACCUGGAAAGCGAGUCCUUGGUUACACGCGAGGAAGUGGCAAAAAUACUUGCCAUUGAAGUCGACAGAGAAAAAGGGUUUCAUUUGGAUGUGGAAGACUAUCUUGCAGGAGUUCUUAUUUUGGCCAGUGAGCUGUCGAGGCUGGCAGUGAACAGCGUGACCGCAGGAGACUAUGGACGUCCGCUUAGGAUCUCAAACUUUAUCAACGAACUUGACUCUGGCUUUCGGUUGCUCAACUUAAAAAACGACCCUCUUCGCAAGCGCUACGACGGCCUCAAGUACGAUGUGAAGAAGAUCGAGGAGGUGGUGUACGAUCUCUCAAUCCGAGGCCUUGCUAAGGAGCAGGAGGCUGGAGGAGAUAAGUAGAAGCGGUGUGGGAACGCAAGAGGCUGCGGGGCACUACCCUGGCUGAGAUUCUCCACGACUGGAAGAGUGGUUAAACCUGUCUGUGAGCAGGUGGUCGGAGGAAGAGGGGAGGGAAUGGAGGUUUUAAAGCCCCAGCAGCCUUGGGCGGUAUCUUUUAAGCCACCUGCCCACCAUGACCGAGAUCAGUUCAGGUUUUAGUGGGGAGAUCUCUUUCUCACGUUUGUUGAGAGAUGCUUAUGUACAGAUGCAUUUGUUUGCCUGUUUUUUUUCCCUUCUUUUUUUGAUUGGAUGCUUUUUACUAUUAUUGAUGUUUUUGUCUCGGCCAUGUCUCUUGUGAAUCAUUGUGCAGUCAAACAAGAAGGAAAAAAAAAAAUUUUUUUGGGUGGGAGAUACUUAAAAAUGCUGUUAAAAACCGAAGUUCUGUGCCUGUUUUGUGGCUUUGUGUCCAGUUGAGUCAUCAAGAUGUUUUCUUGAUGUUAAACUACAUAAAUAUUACAUUUGACACA